CGUUCAACCUCAAAAGAAGCAGAGGGGGCUUAGUGGUGGGGUGACUGCGUACCUUUUGUAUAAUGGGUCAGCGACUUAUAUUCUGUAGCAAGGUUAACUGUAUAGGGGAGCCGGAGGGAAACCGAGUCUUAACCGGGCGUUAAGUUGCAGGGUAUAGACCCGAAACCCGGUGAUCUAGCCAUGGGCAGGUUGAAGGUUGGGUAACACUAACUGGAGGACCGAACCGACUAAUGUUGAAAAAUUAGCGGAUGACCUGUGGCUGGGGGUGAAAGGCCAAUCAAACCGGGAGAUAGCUGGUUCUCCCCGAAAGCUAUUUAGGUAGCGCCUCGUGAAUUCAUCUCCGGGGGUAGAGCACUGUUUCGGCUAGGGGGCCAUCCCGGCUUACCAACCCGAUGCAAACUGCGAAUACCGGAGAAUGUUAUCACGGGAGACACACGGCGGGUGCUAAUGUCCGUCGUGAAGAGGGAAACAACCCAGACCGCCAGCUAAGGUCCCAAAGUCAUGGUUAAGUGGGAAACGAUGUGGGAAGGCCCAGACAGCCAGGAUGUUGGCUUAGAAGCAGCCAUCAUUUAAAGAAAGCGUAAUAGCUCACUGGUCGAGUCGGCCUGCGCGGAAGAUGUAACGGGGCUAAACCAUGCACCGAAGCUGCGGCAGCGACACCGUGUGUUGUUGGGUAGGGGAGCGUUCUGUAAGCCUGUGAAGGUGUGCUGUGAGGCAUGCUGGAGGUAUCAGAAGUGCGAAUGCUGACAUAAGUAACGAUAAAGCGGGUGAAAAGCCCGCUCGCCGGAAGACCAAGGGUUCCUGUCCAACGUUAAUCGGGGCAGGGUGAGUCGACCCCUAAGGCGAGGCCGAAAGGCGUAGUCGAUGGGAAACGGGUUAAUAUUCCCGUACUUGGUGUUACUGCGAAGGGGGGACGGAGAAGGCUAUGUUGGCCGGGCGACGGUUGUCCCGGUUUAAGCGUGUAGGUAUGUGUUCCAGGUAAAUCCGGUUCACUUUAACACUGAGGCGUGACGACGAGGCACUACGGUGCUGAAGCAACAAAUGCCCUGCUUCCAGGAAAAGCCUCUAAGCAUCAGGUAACAUCAAAUCGUACCCCAAACCGACACAGGUGGUCAGGUAGAGAAUACCAAGGCGCUUGAGAGAACUCGGGUGAAGGAACUAGGCAAAAUGGUGCCGUAACUUCGGGAGAAGGCACGCUGACACGUAGGUGAAGUGAUUUACUCACGGAGCUGAAGUCAGCCGAAGAUACCAGCUGGCUGCAACUGUUUAUUAAAAACACAGCACUGUGCAAACACGAAAGUGGACGUAUACGGUGUGACGCCUGCCCGGUGCCGGAAGGUUAAUUGAUGGGGUCAGCGCAAGCGAAGCUCCUGAUCGAAGCCCCGGUAAACGGCGGCCGUAACUAUAACGGUCCUAAGGUAGCGAAAUUCCUUGUCGGGUAAGUUCCGACCUGCACGAAUGGCGUAAUGAUGGCCAGGCUGUCUCCACCCGAGACUCAGUGAAAUUGAACUCGCUGUGAAGAUGCAGUGUACCCGCGGCAAGACGGAAAGACCCCGUGAACCUUUACUAUAGCUUGACACUGAACAUUGAGCCUUGAUGUGUAGGAUAGGUGGGAGGCUUUGAAGUGUGGACGCCAGUCUGCAUGGAGCCGACCUUGAAAUACCACCCUUUAAUGUUUGAUGUUCUAACGUGGACCCGUGAUCCGGGUUGCGGACAGUGUCUGGUGGGUAGUUUGACUGGGGCGGUCUCCUCCUAAAGAGUAACGGAGGAGCACGAAGGUUGGCUAAUCCUGGUCGGACAUCAGGAGGUUAGUGCAAUGGCAUAAGCCAGCUUGACUGCGAGCGUGACGGCGCGAGCAGGUGCGAAAGCAGGUCAUAGUGAUCCGGUGGUUCUGAAUGGAAGGGCCAUCGCUCAACGGAUAAAAGGUACUCCGGGGAUAACAGGCUGAUACCGCCCAAGAGUUCAUAUCGACGGCGGUGUUUGGCACCUCGAUGUCGGCUCAUCACAUCCUGGGGCUGAAGUAGGUCCCAAGGGUAUGGCUGUUCGCCAUUUAAAGUGGUACGCGAGCUGGGUUUAGAACGUCGUGAGACAGUUCGGUCCCUAUCUGCCGUGGGCGCUGGAGAACUGAGGGGGGCUGCUCCUAGUACGAGAGGACCGGAGUGGACGCAUCACUGGUGUUCGGGUUGUCAUGCCAAUGGCACUGCCCGGUAGCUAAAUGCGGAAGAGAUAAGUGCUGA
rnacentral:rRNA from 1 species